rnacentral:rRNA from 1 species
GACGUAGGGCGCGAGCGUUGUCCGGAUUUAUUGGGCGUAAAGAGCUCGUAGGCGGUCUGUUACGUCUGCUGUGAAAACCCAGGGCUUAACCCUGGGCUUGCAGUGGAUACGGGCAGACUAGAGGCAGGUAGGGGAGAAUGGAAUUCCCGGUGUAGCGGUGAAAUGCGCAGAUAUCGGGAGGAACACCGGUGGCGAAAGCGGCGCUCUGGUCCUCUUCUGACGCUGAGGCGCGAAAGCCAGGGGAGCAAACGGG